rnacentral:rRNA from 1 species
GACGAACGCUGGCGGCGUGCUUAACACAUGCGAGUCGAACGGAAAGGCCCUGCUUGCAGGGUACUCGAGUGGCGAACGGGUGAGUAACACGUGGGUGAUCUGCCCUGCACUUCGGGAUAAGCCUGGGAAACUGGGUCUAAUACCGGAUAGGAGCCAUUUUUAGUGUGAUGGUUGGAAAGUUUUUUCGGUGUAGGAUGAGCUCGCGGCCUAUCAGCUUGUUGGUGGGGUAAUGGCCUACCAAGGCGGCGACGGAUAGCCGGCCUGAGAGGGUGGACGGCCACAUUGGGACUGAGAGACGGCCCAGACUCCUACGGGAGGCAGCAGUGGGGAAUAUUGCACAAUGGGCGCAAGCCUGAUGCAGCGACGCCGCGUGGGGGAUGACGGCCUUCGGGUUGUAAACUCCUUUCGCUAGGGACGAAGCUUUUUGUGACGGUACCUAGAUAAGAAGCACCGGCUAACUACGUG